GGGAAAGAGAGCGAGCCUGGGGCCAGCGAGCGGCAGACAGUGACCCAGACAGGGAGAGAGGAAGUCGGCGGGUUCCAGGGAAUGACGCCUGUCCCCCACCCCCACAGGCACGCCAGCCGCAAAGGCCUGAGCCAAUGGCAAAUGUUCUUUCAGCCUCGCUAAUCCCCGUGGCCGGUUUGUAAGUCCCCAGAGCCUAGCUGGAGCCUUCCACUCCUGCCCCUUGGCCCUCAGAGCGUGGGGGGGGGGCAGGUCUGGAGGUCCGAGGAGAGCCUGGCAAUCCAGCGCCCUUCCCUGCUCCCACCCCACCCCCACCGGCCCCAGGAGACAGGGCUAGAGAAGCCCGUGGGGUCGCAAAGCCCCUUUCCCACAGCCGGCGCGCAGAGACACUGCCCACUCCCAGUCCAGGCAAGCGUCUGCCCUGUCGGCUCCCCCGGGCUUCCGCAGCCUAGCCCUGCCCGCCCUGCCAGUCAGAAGGAUUCCACCCUGAGCAGGGGGCCAGAGUGUGUUUGGAUCCCCACUUCUGCAUUAGUGAAAUCUGCCCUGUCUCGCACUAAUGUGAGAGUGUGAGCAGAAAACACCAACAAUAAACCUAACACUUAUAUGGCACUCAUACUGUGCCAAGUACUGUUCUGUGUGUGCACUUUCCCACAUGUUCACUCAACUAAAAUAGAUGUAAAAUGAUUCCUAAAAGUAGGAAGUGCCAAUAAUCACAGGCAUUGUGGGGCCCAGUUAAACCACAGCCCCUGUGUGUCUCUCAGAAGCUCACAGGUUAAGGGCGCAGGCAGACCGGACACACAGGUUGUCAGUACAAGGAUAAAAUUCCUAACAGGAGGGGGAAAGGGUGGGUCCGAGAUGGGUUGGACCAUAGGGCUGGCUUAGCGCCUUCAGAAGACCUCCUGCAAGAGGCAGGCUGCUGUAAACAGUGUCUCUCAAUUCUCCACCCAUGACCUUUGUCCCUUGGGCUCCUGUCAUGGCUGACUCACCCCUACACCCACCUCCCCCCUUCACCAACUUCUUGGCAGCAGGCGAAGAGUUGGUCAGUGGGAAUCUGGGAAUCAGCGCAGGGACCCGCCCAGCUCUAAUCACCCCCCAGAUCCCAUCCAGUUCUUCCUUCCAGGGCUGUGAGUGCCUCCUCAGAGGCUAAUGGCUUCCUCCCUCCCACUGCUCUGGAGCCUGGGUGCCCUGCAUUAGGAGAAGGUUGGGCACAAGGGAGGAAAAUCCCCUGGGGGUUGGACCUGCCAAAGGGGAGGCGCAGGUGCAGGAGCAGGCCCCAUCUUCAGGGUCCCCUCCCUGCUCUCUCCAUACACUUUCUUGAGGGGGGCUGAGUGGAGGAGCGAGGGUCACGGGUGCCCUGCACAGAGCUGGAGGGCCCUCCCCUCUGCUUUGGUGUUUGGGCUGGGACUACUCUAACACCCCGUCUGCCUCGUGGACUAAGUGGGGCCCACAGUGAGGGAGGCAGGGGCUCUGCUGCACUGCAGAGAGAAGCAGGAGGGCCCUCUCCAGGCCUGGGAAGAGCUUAGACGUGGGCUCUAGUCAGGCACUGAGCACUCUGUAGAGGGAUGGUGGCCGGGCUCUGUGGAAAUGACCACCCUGUCCCCAGAGGGGGUUCCCAGAAGUGUGUGGCACCCGACUCCUGAACCCACAGAACCCCGAGGGAGCAGGCAGCCAGGGGUGGGGCAGACCCCUCCUCAUUCCUGGUCUGCCCCACCCCUGAAAGCUGAUAGCCGUGGGGCCUUGCCACUGCCCAGGGAGCGUGAAAUGGAGUGUGCCACUGGGUGGCCACCACGGCUCCUACUGCUGUCUGAGCUGAUUCCCUCUCCCCUCUGGCACCCUGACCUGCUCUGUGGGCACUGUCUGUGCCAUCCCUGCCAGCUGCCCCCCACCCAGCCUGGCCAGACCCUGCCAGCCUCUCCCACCCAGCCUGGAAAAUGUCUCCCUUGGCCUUCAGCCUCCCCCAGCCCCAAAAAGGAGAAUCAGGUAGUUAGCUCAAGUGCAGGUACCCUAGGGCUGGCCUUCUGGCCUGGAGUUGAGGGACCCUCCACAGGCACAUCACCCUUCUCUCCUGGUCCAAGAUCAAGACCCAAAGCUCAAAGGAGUUGGUUGGAACCAUCCCUGCCCAACAGGCAUCCUUCCCUGACUUGGCACCUGGAUCCCUAAGGUAUGCUGGCAGCCAGACCAGACCUUAACCUGCCCAUCCUCGUCUUUUCUGUCUUUACCCCCCAAAGCUAUCCACCCCUAUCGUGUUCCUUCCUGGAACCCCUGUUCCUACUCAGGCAGCCUCCUGGCCUAUCCCCAACACUGCUGUCCCUCGGGCCUGUCACAGUUCAGGCUUCAGGCUGGAGGGCCAGGCUAGAGGUCUGAAUUGGGAGCUAAAUUCUCUCUCCUUUGGGGAAUUUCCUGAGAUCCAGGCAUAGGUUCCUGUGUCAGCCCUGACCUCCAGAGGCUGAUGAUGAGACUAGCAGGAGUGACCUUUACACCUUGGCCUAGGAACACUCAAGGACCUUGCUUCACAGCCAAGGCCAAAGAUUUGGGGGAUCCCAGGAGAAAAAAGAGAAAAGGGCUGGAACAGGAGCCCAGUACCUUCCUGAGGGCUGAGGCCCACUGCCAACUGCUCCAAGGGGAAGGGGGAUUAGACCUGGGUAGUUCAGACAAGGUGCAGGACGGGGGGCCUCAGCACUGCACAGGGGCCCUAGGAGCCCCCUCUCUCCCCCAGUCACAAAAGGGUGUGUGGGGAAAGUCAGCCAAAGGUAGGAAGGUGGGGACAGGUGAGCACUCUCCCCAGCAGCCACCUACUCACAUACCCUGGGCCCCGUUCCCCACUCUGUGGGCCAAAAUUCUUUAAGGAAGCUUCUCUGAGUCCCUCACGACCCUUCCAGACCACCCCCUGCUCCCUGCCUGAGGUUCUCUGUCUCGGCGGGCUUAGGGAGUGGGAGCAGGUAGAAGGCAGUGUUCCCCCAGGUCUGGGUUUUUCUGCCCUGGACGUCUCUUCUGUCUUGUCCCAACCCCCCCACCACCAAACCUGCUCUCAUCACCUCCCCUUUCACCUGGGCCAUCCUGGCUCUGGAGAAGUUCUGGGGAGAUUGGAAAAGGGCCCCCCUUCCAGCCAUUCUACACCCUGGCCACCAGGUGUCAGACUUUGUCCGGCUGGGAAGAAGGUCCUGGUUAGUUCCCACCCCAUCAGCCAGGCCUUGGUGAUCAGGGCAAGAUGGGGAGGCACCUAGAGGUGACCUCUGAACUAGGGAGACUGAGGGACCCUGAGGGUUGAAAUGAGGAAAGGACGGGAGCUCUGGUUCCAAAACUCACAGUUACUCCCUCAUUGGCCCCACCCCCACCCACUGACAAGGGCUUUGU